AGCGUACACGGUGGAUGCCCUGGCAGUCAGAGGCGAUGAAGGACGUGCUAAUCUGCGAUAAGCGUCGGUGAGGUGAUAUGAACCGUUAUAACCGGCGAUUUCCGAAUGGGGAAACCCAGUGUGUUUCGACACACUAUCAUUAACUGAAUCCAUAGGUUAAUGAGGCGAACCGGGGGAACUGAAACAUCUAAGUACCCCGAGGAAAAGAAAUCAACCGAGAUUCCCCCAGUAGCGGCGAGCGAACGGGGAGGAGCCCAGAGCCUGAAUCAGUGUGUGUGUUAGUGGAAGCGUCUGGAAAGGCGCGCGAUACAGGGUGACAGCCCCGUACACAAAAAUGCACAUAUUGUGAGCUCGAUGAGUAGGGCGGGACACGUGGUAUCCUGUCUGAAUAUGGGGGGACCAUCCUCCAAGGCUAAAUACUCCUGACUGACCGAUAGUGAACCAGUACCGUGAGGGAAAGGCGAAAAGAACCCCGGCGAGGGGAGUGAAAAAGAACCUGAAACCGUGUACGUACAAGCAGUGGGAGCCUCUUAAUGGGGUGACUGCGUACCUUUUGUAUAAUGGGUCAGCGACUUAUAUUCUGUAGCAAGGUUAACCGAAUAGGGGAGCCGAAGGGAAACCGAGUCUUAACUGGGCGUUAAGUUGCAGGGUAUAGACCCGAAACCCGGUGAUCUAGCCAUGGGCAGGUUGAAGGUUGGGUAACACUAACUGGAGGACCGAACCGACUAAUGUUGAAAAAUUAGCGGAUGACUUGUGGCUGGGGGUGAAAGGCCAAUCAAACCGGGAGAUAGCUGGUUCUCCCCGAAAGCUAUUUAGGUAGCGCCUCGUGAAUUCAUCUCCGGGGGUAGAGCACUGUUUCGGCAAGGGGGUCAUCCCGACUUACCAACCCGAUGCAAACUGCGAAUACCGGAGAAUGUUAUCACGGGAGACACACGGCGGGUGCUAACGUCCGUCGUGAAGAGGGAAACAACCCAGACCGCCAGCUAAGGUCCCAAAGUCAUGGUUAAGUGGGAAACGAUGUGGGAAGGCCCAGACAGCCAGGAUGUUGGCUUAGAAGCAGCCAUCAUUUAAAGAAAGCGUAAUAGCUCACUGGUCGAGUCGGCCUGCGCGGAAGAUGUAACGGGGCUAAACCAUGCACCGAAGCUGCGGCAGCGACGCUUAUGCGUUGUUGGGUAGGGGAGCGUUCUGUAAGCCUGUGAAGGUGGCCUGUGAGGGUUGCUGGAGGUAUCAGAAGUGCGAAUGCUGACAUAAGUAACGAUAAAGCGGGUGAAAAGCCCGCUCGCCGGAAGACCAAGGGUUCCUGUCCAACGUUAAUCGGGGCAGGGUGAGUCGACCCCUAAGGCGAGGCCGAAAGGCGUAGUCGAUGGGAAACAGGUUAAUAUUCCUGUACUUGGUGUUACUGCGAAGGGGGGACGGAGAAGGCUAUGUUGGCCGGGCGACGGUUGUCCCGGUUUAAGCGUGUAGGCUGGUUUUCCAGGCAAAUCCGGAAAAUCAAGGCUGAGGCGUGAUGACGAGGCACUACGGUGCUGAAGCAACAAAUGCCCUGCUUCCAGGAAAAGCCUCUAAGCAUCAGGUAACAUCAAAUCGUACCCCAAACCGACACAGGUGGUCAGGUAGAGAAUACCAAGGCGCUUGAGAGAACUCGGGUGAAGGAACUAGGCAAAAUGGUGCCGUAACUUCGGGAGAAGGCACGCUGAUAUGUAGGUGAAGCGACUUGCUCGUGGAGCUGAAAUCAGUCGAAGAUACCAGCUGGCUGCAACUGUUUAUUAAAAACACAGCACUGUGCAAACACGAAAGUGGACGUAUACGGUGUGACGCCUGCCCGGUGCCGGAAGGUUAAUUGAUGGGGUUAGCGGUAACGCGAAGCUCUUGAUCGAAGCCCCGGUAAACGGCGGCCGUAACUAUAACGGUCCUAAGGUAGCGAAAUUCCUUGUCGGGUAAGUUCCGACCUGCACGAAUGGCGUAAUGAUGGCCAGGCUGUCUCCACCCGAGACUCAGUGAAAUUGAACUCGCUGUGAAGAUGCAGUGUACCCGCGGCAAGACGGAAAGACCCCGUGAACCUUUACUAUAGCUUGACACUGAACAUUGAGCCUUGAUGUGUAGGAUAGGUGGGAGGCUUUGAAGUGUGGACGCCAGUCUGCAUGGAGCCGACCUUGAAAUACCACCCUUUAAUGUUUGAUGUUCUAACGUUGGCCCGUAAUCCGGGUUGCGGACAGUGUCUGGUGGGUAGUUUGACUGGGGCGGUCUCCUCCUAAAGAGUAACGGAGGAGCACGAAGGUUGGCUAAUCCUGGUCGGACAUCAGGAGGUUAGUGCAAUGGCAUAAGCCAGCUUGACUGCGAGCGUGACGGCGCGAGCAGGUGCGAAAGCAGGUCAUAGUGAUCCGGUGGUUCUGAAUGGAAGGGCCAUCGCUCAACGGAUAAAAGGUACUCCGGGGAUAACAGGCUGAUACCGCCCAAGAGUUCAUAUCGACGGCGGUGUUUGGCACCUCGAUGUCGGCUCAUCACAUCCUGGGGCUGAAGUAGGUCCCAAGGGUAUGGCUGUUCGCCAUUUAAAGUGGUACGCGAGCUGGGUUUAGAACGUCGUGAGACAGUUCGGUCCCUAUCUGCCGUGGGCGCUGGAGAACUGAGGGGGGCUGCUCCUAGUACGAGAGGACCGGAGUGGACGCAUCACUGGUGUUCGGGUUGUCAUGCCAAUGGCACUGCCCGGUAGCUAAAUGCGGAAGAGAUAAGUGCUGAAAGCAUCUAAGCACGAAACUUGCCCCGAGAUGAGUUCU
rnacentral:rRNA from 1 species